rnacentral:lncRNA from 1 species
UUUUUUUUUUUAUCUUUUUGCCUUUUCUAGGGCCACUUCCUGAGGCAUAUGGAGGUUCCCAGGAAAGCAUCUGCUGACUUUGAUGGACUCCUAUCCCAACUUCGAUUUGGGAGUAAUUAAAGACCAUGUGGGAGGGGCAAUCACAAUAACAACUGAAACAUCGGCUCCAUUAUCUGUUAAUCCCCUGAUAUUUUUUUCCAUUAACCGUAAUAGUCAUUCGUGGACGUUCAGUUGUGACUUCCUGAGUCCAAAAGACUUGAGAAGUCCCUGCACUUCCAAUCCUGAUGUUCCCCUUUCUUUAUGAGGACUCUGUCCUAUUUUAAGAUAUGGCAGCAGUAACAAUUGAGCAAUCCUCCUUCCAGGAUGCAAAGGAAGUAGGGUUUUGGAUUUCAUCAUCACUUUAAUCUCUCCUUGACAGUCUGCAUCUAUCACUCCAGGCAAAACUUGUAAGCCUCUCAAGGUUAAGCCACUUCUCCCUCUAAUGAGGCCUACGGUGUCCGGAGGAAGAGGGCCACAAAUUCCUGGAGGGACUGCCUGAAAGCCCUGUUCAUACGUUAAAACAGCUGCUGUGGCGCCCGGCAAGUCCAACGCUUGGGAAGCCCCUGGGAGGGAUCGGAUGCCUUUUCGGUUGGAGCCACAAAAGCCCACAUUGUUGGACGGGGCCGGGGCUGGCCCUGGUUCCCGUAUCCCGACACCAGAGUGGUUAAUGGAGUACCAUUUCGGUGAAACUUAGAUCGGCAUUGAUUAGCCCAGUGCUUCCCUUUCUGACAGCGAGGACAUAAGCCAGGGUUCUGACUGGGUCCUGGAGAUGAUCCUGUUGCAGAGGGUGACUUUUCUUUUGGGGGGGCUCGGCAUUCUCUCUGAAAGUGUCCUGCCUUUCCACAGUUAAAGCAUGUCUUUCCUGAGCGGCCAAGUGCUCUUUUCAAUGCUGCAGCAAGCAGCUCUUGAGUAUGACCUACACUCCCUACAUCCUGACAUGCCUUAAUAUAAUCAAAGAGGUCUCCUGAAUUUCUUACAGGGGCCAUUGCCCUUCUACAGUCUUUAUUUGCGUUUUCGUAUGCCAAUAGUUUAAUUAAAAUAUCAGCCACCUGAGAAUGGGCUACUUGGCGAUGGACGGCCUGUGUUAGGCGGUCCACAAAUUGUGAGUAAGGUUCUGUAGGGCCUUGAAGGCAACGUGUAAAAGAUCCUUGUGGCUUUCCUGUCCCAGGAAUUGUCUUCCACGCUCUUUGGGCGGCCAGGCUCAACUGCUCAUACGCCAGAGGAUCAUAAGCCAGUUGUUUUGUUACGUCAAGAAAAGGGCCUGUCCCCACCAACAUUUCAAAAGUAAUUGGAACAUGAUCUCUUUUAUUUAAGCAAGCCUGUUCCCGACAAAAAUCUGAAAGACUAGACUUCCAAAUUAAAUAAUCUAUACCAUCCAGGGUGGCUUUGGCUAUCAUAUGCCAGUCCCACGGGGGAAGCUGGAGUGUCCCCACGCUUUCUACCAAGCGCAUCGUAAAGGGAGCUGUCACUCCGUUCUGUAUCACACUCUCCCGGAGAGCUUUAAGAUCUUUAAAAUCAAAAGUGUUCUGCGCAUGGAUAUUUCGUCCUGGGACUUGAGGAUUGGGGACAAUAGGUAUAGGGCACGCUAAAAAGGUCCGAUCCUCUAGACUAGCUGACUUUAAGGCUGAUUGAAGGGGAGUUAGUGCUGCCGCCACAGCUAACGGCCUAUUUAAACUCUCAUCAAGAAAGGGAUCGGCCUGAGGGGGAGCAGAAGCUAUAGGCUUUUCUUUAUGUUCCCGUAAGGGCUCCAAAACACGUCUUACUAGUUCCCAUGUAGAAAAAACAGAAACAGAAAGAGAGGCCCCCGACCGAUGGGCGUGCCUUAAAUUUUUCCCCACGAGAUCCCAGCAUUCCGGGUCCACAGUACCCUCGCCUGGAAACCAAGGGUUAUAUUUGAGCACGGCUUCUAACAAUUCCUCGAUCUCAGACCCUGUUACCUGAGCCCCCGACCAUUUCAACACACAUUUCAGCAACUGAAUAUAAUGUUUCGUUUCCUGUGAUUGAUUCUGCCCCAUUGUUAUCCUGGCUUAAAGUUUCUACUUACUCACGGUUGCGAUUCCGUCGAGUGCAAUGCUACCGUCUCCGCCGUCUGUAGUUGCACUUUUUCCUGCUCGUGGCCCAACUUCUCUUUCCUCUGCUCGUGGCAGUGUUAUGGCAGCUGCCCAGAAGCCCUGGGCCGCAGCGUAUCAGUUCUGGCGACAGCCCUGUGGCUGUCGUGUCCCAGCUCCAGCAGCUCUGUGGCUGCAGUGGAUCAGCUCUUUGACCCGGCGAGAAACCAAGCGAGCACUUGGAGAGUUGGAGAACUCAGGUUUAUGACGCCGGUGGGCUCAGAGGAGAUCGCUCUCCAGAGUCU